rnacentral:rRNA from 1 species
CACGUAGGGUGCGAGCGUUGUCCGGAAUUAUUGGGCGUAAAGGGCUCGUAGGCGGUUUGUCGCGUCGGGAGUGAAAACCUCGGGCUUAACUCGGGGCUUGCUUUCGAUACGGGCAGACUGGAGGUAUGCAGGGGAGAACGGAAUUCCUGGUGUAGCGGUGAAAUGCGCAGAUAUCAGGAGGAACACCGGUGGCGAAGGCGGUUCUCUGGGCAUGACCUGACGCUGAGGAGCGAAAGUGUGGGGAGCGAACAGG